rnacentral:rRNA from 1 species
UCCUACGGGGCGCAGCAGUGGGGAAUAUUGCACAAUGGGCGAAAGCCUGAUGCAGCAACGCCGCGUGAAGGAAGAAGGGUUUCGGCUCGUAAACCUCUAUCAACAGGGACGAAAGAAAUGACGGUACCUGAAUAAGAAGCCCCGGCUAACUACGUGCCAGCAGCCGCGGUAAUACGUAGGGGGCAAGCGUUAUCCGGAAUUAUUGGGUGUAAAGGGUGCGUAGACGGAAGAACAAGUUGGUUGUGAAAUCCCUCGGCUCAACUGAGGAACUGCAACCAAAACUAUUCUCCUUGAGUGUCGGAGAG